UCCGGUUUUUCACCGGCAGUCUCUUUAGAGUGCCCAGCAUAACCUGAUGGCAACUAAAGACAGGGGUUGCGCUCGUUACGGGACUUAACCCAACACCUCACGGCACGAGCUGACGACAGCCAUGCAGCACCUAGUUUCGUGCUAUUGCUAGCUGCCAUGUUUCCACAGCAUUCACUAACUUUCAAGCCCAGGUAAGGUUCCCCGCGUAUCAUCGAAUUAAACCACAUGCUCCUCCGCUUGUGCGGGCCCCCGUCAAUUCCUUUGAGUUUCAAUCUUGCGAUCGUACUUCCCAGGUGGAUCACUUAAUGCUUUCGCUCAGACGCGUACAGUGUAUCGCACACAUCGAGUGAUCAUCGUUUAGGGCGUGGACUAC
rnacentral:misc_RNA from 1 species